AAUCAACGCUGGCGGCGUGCCUCAGACAUGCAAGUCGAACGAUUAAAGCUCUCUUCGGAGAGUGUAUAGAGUGCGCACGGGUGAGUAACACGUAAGUAAUCUACCUUUGAGUGGGGAAUAACCCGGGGAAACCCGAGCUAAUACCGCAUAAUGCAGCGGCACCGCAAGGUGACAGUUGUUAAAGGAGCAAUCCGCUUAGAGAGGAGCUUGCGGCAGAUUAGCUAGUUGGUAAGGUAAUGGCUUACC
rnacentral:rRNA from 1 species